CAAUAGCGUAUAUUAAAGUUGUUGCAGUUAAAACGCUCGUAGUCGGAUUUCGGGGCGGGCCGACCGGUCUGCCGAUGGGUAUGCACUGGCCGGCGCGUCCUUCCUUCCGGAGACCGUGCCUACUCUUAACUGAGCGGGUUCGGGAGACGGAUCGUUUACUUUGAAAAAUCAGAGUGUUUCAAGCAGGCAGCUCGCUCUUGCAUGGAUUAGCAUGGGAUAAUGAAAUAGGACUUUGGUGCUAUUUUGUUGGUUUCGAACACCGAAGUAAUGAUUAACAGGGACAGUCAGGGGCACUCGUAUUCCGCCGAGAGAGGUGAAAUUCUCAGACCAGCGGAAGACGAACGCCUACGCGAACGAACGACUUUAGUUUCCGACCGGGAAGGGUAGUUUUUCGUUUUACCUACGUAGUACUAACGAAAACGGAAAACGGUUAAAAGGGGGUUAAGGGGUACGUAACGGAAACGGAACGUACUACGAAGUAACCGUUACCCGUUCGUA
rnacentral:rRNA from 1 species